UACGUAGGGUGCGAGCGUUGUCCGGAAUUACUGGGCGUAAAGAGCUCGUAGGUGGUUUGUCGCGUUGUCCGUGAAAACUCACAACUCAAUUGUGGGCGUGCGGGCGAUACGGGCAGACUGGAGUACUGCAGGGGAGACUGGAAUUCCUGGUGUAGCGGUGGAAUGCGCAGAUAUCAGGAAGAACACCUAUGGCGAAGGCAGCUCUCUGGGACGGUACUGACGCUGAGGCGCGAAAGCGUGGGGAGCAAACGGG
rnacentral:rRNA from 1 species